UGCCAACCAAUAGAUGUAGAAGGAACAAUGGAAAUAAGUACUACUAGGCAACAAUAAGAGUAGUGGUCGACACAUGUGUAUGUCACUGGUGGGUGGAGGUGUGAUGAGAAACAGGAUAUUGGCAAAAUAUUGGACCAUCUCCCCACAAAAUGAUUAACCAGAUGCAAGGAGGGAAGGGGCAGACACAGCCUGACUCGUGAUCAAGGUCACAGCACCGCAGCUGGGACAGGCGGGCACCGUGAACACAGCAUCAUUGCAGGGGUGUUCCUGCUGGUGGAGGGGCCUGUGCCCUUGACGACUGUCAAGGAUCCUAGAGGCGGGAAGGCUGGGGACUGGUCCGGAUGGAAAGAGCCUAGUGGGGCCGAAGACCCACCGCAGUGUGUGCUCCGUGCAGGAGCCUCCGUGGGGAAGGGAAAGAGAGCCUGCUGAGCCAGCCAGUGAGACGUGAGCAAGGCCUGCAGGUCGCCGACCAGCGGCUGGCGGAGCCCUGGGAUGCAGUUGUGGUGCCGACUUGGAGGAGAUGGCAAAGGCCCGCCAACACCAGGAGGAAAGCGCAGACUCCUGGGGUCCCUGUUCCCCAGGGAGGAAUUCCUGGGCCCAGCACUGACCCCACAGCCCGGUCCUCUGGUGACAGGAGACAGGAGAAGUCUCCAUCUGGCAGCCCCGUCAGAUCAGACCAUCCUUUCUGGGGAGGACACUGCUUUGCGCUGGCUUUCCAUGGCAGUCCCGGCCCUUGGUUCCUGGGCAUCCGUAGAACACGGAAGGCGAUGACCCACGCCCCCUGGCUCACCAGGUGACAAGCCCGAAGCAGCCCGCUGACUGCCUUGCUGAACACACUCGUUCAAAGCCACACAGAGGUCCAAUGUGAGUGGCACGCUGGCCUGACAGGAGCCGGAUGUGGCUCAGAGGACCUUCGCGUCCUUAUUUCCUCUUGCUCGCAGGCAGCCUUGUGGUGGAGAGGCCGGGCUAAAGCCGGCAUCUAGGCAUUUAGAGACAUUAAAGGUAACUGGAGUGAUGAAGAGAAGGAGGGAUGUUAUAAAUGAGAAACUGGCAGCUCAUUAUGUCACCAACAGAGGGAAAUGAGGGAUGCAGUUUCUGAGCAGGGAAGGGCUCUGUCCUCGGCAGGUAGCCUGGGACCAGGUCUUGGCCAGGGUUCUAAAGGGCUCUUGGAAAAAGCAAAG